AUGGUGGGGAAUUUUACGAGGGAAAUGUACAGAUCGAUGGAUACAUCAUUUUAAGGAAUUGGAAAAGGAUGGCCAUUUUACAAUCGGGGAAAAACUGCAUAUAACAUUAGUUCAAUAUUGUUACAUGCAAAUUAUCA